rnacentral:rRNA from 1 species
GAGUUUGAUCCUGGCUCAGGACAAACGCUGGCGGCGUGCCUAAUACAUGCAAGUCGAGCGGACCGAAAAGAAGCUUGCUUCGAUUCGGUUAGCGGCGGACGGGUGAGUAACACGUGGGCAACCUGCCCUGUAGACGGGGAUAACACCGAGAAAUCGGUGCUAAUACCGGAUAACACGAAAUGUCGCAUGACAUUUCGUUGAAAGGCGGCGCAAGCUGUCGCUACAGGAUGGGCCCGCGGCGCAUUAGCUAGUUGGUGAGGUAACGGCUCACCAAGGCGACGAUGCGUAGCCGACCUGAGAGGGUGAUCGGCCACACUGGGACUGAGACACGGCCCAGACUCCUACGGGAGGCAGCAGUAGGGAAUCUUCCGCAAUGGACGAAAGUCUGACGGAGCAACGCCGCGUGAGCGAAGAAGGUCUUCGGAUUGUAAAGCUCUGUUGUUAGGGAAGAACAAGUACCGCAGUAACUGGCGGUACCUUGACGGUACCUAACGAGAAAGCCACGGCUAACUACGUGCCAGCAGCCGCGGUAAUACGUAGGUGGCAAGCGUUGUCCGGAAUUAUUGGGCGUAAAGCGCGCGCAGGCGGUCCUUUAAGUCUGAUGUGAAAGCCCACGGCUCAACCGUGGAGGGUCAUUGGAAACUGGGGGACUUGAGUGCAGAAGAGGAGAGCGGAAUUCCACGUGUAGCGGUGAAAUGCGUAGAGAUGUGGAGGAACACCAGUGGCGAAGGCGGCUCUCUGGUCUGUAACUGACGCUGAGGCGCGAAAGCGUGGGGAGCAAACAGGAUUAGAUACCCUGGUAGUCCACGCCGUAAACGAUGAGUGCUAAGUGUUAAAGGGGUUACACCCCUUUAGUGCUGUACCUAACGCAUUAAGCACUCCGCCUGGGGAGGACGCUCGCAA